GUGAGUAACACGUAUCCAACCUGCCGUUUACUCUUGGCCAGCCUUCUGAAAGGAAGAUUAAUCCAGGAUGGCAUCAUGAGUUCACAUGUCCGCAUGAUUAAAGGUAUUUUCCGGUAGACGAUGGGGAUGCGUUCCAUUAGAUAGUAGGCGGGGUAACGGCCCACCUAGUCAACGAUGGAUAGGGGUUCUGAGAGGAAGGUCCCCCACAUUGGAACUGAGACACGGUCCAAACUCCUACGGGAGGCAGCAGUGAGGAAUAUUGGUCAAUGGGCGAUGGCCUGAACCAGCCAAGUAGCGUGAAGGAUGACUGCCCUAUGGGUUGUAAACUUCUUUUAUAAAGGAAUAAAGUCGGGUAUGCAUACCCGUUUGCAUGUACUUUAUGAAUAAGGAUCGGCUAACUCCGUGCCAGCAGCCGCGGUAAUACGGAGGAUCCGAGCGUUAUCCGGAUUUAUUGGGUUUAAAGGGAGCGUAGAUGGAUGUUUAAAUCAGUUGUGAAAGUUUGCGGCUCAACCGUAAAAUUGCAGUUGAUACUGGAUGUCUUGAGUGCAGUUGAGGCAGGCGGAAUUCGUGGUGUAGCGGUGAAAUGCUGUAGAUAUCACGAAGAACUCCGAUUGCGAAGGCAGCCUGCUAAGCUGCAACUGA
rnacentral:rRNA from 1 species